rnacentral:rRNA from 1 species
ACGGAAUAGAUACCCGGGUAGUCCGCACUGUAAACGAUGAUCACUCGUUGCUGAGGGGUAACCUUCAGUGACCAAAGCGAAAAAGCGAUAAGUGAUCCACCUGGGGAGUACGCCGGCAACGGUGAAACUCAAAGGAAUUGACGGGGGCCCGCACAAGCGGAGGAGCAUGUGGUUUAAAUUCGAUGAUACGCGAGGAACCUUACCAGGGCUUGAAAGUUAGGGAAUGAUUCUGAAAGGAGUCAGCCAGCAAUGGCCCGAAACUAGGUGCUGCAUGGCUGUCGUCAGCUCGUGCCGUGAGGUGUUGGGUUAAGUCCCCGCAACGAGCGCAACCCCUACCAUUAGUUGCCAACAGGUAAAGCUGGGGACUCUAAUGGAACUGCCCGCGCAAGCGGAGAGGAAGGUGGGGAUGACGUCAAGUCAUCACGGCCCUUACGUCCUGGGCUACACACGUGCUACAAUGGUCACUACAGAGGGCAGCUACAUGGUAACAUGAUGCUAAUCUUUCAAAAACGU